AAAAAAUGUAUAAAUUAUCAGUUAUGAAUGAAAAUGUUGAGAACCUUUUCCAGCAAUUGUAAGCUCUGUUUUUCCUCUCCUCUCUCUGCUUUCUUAAAUUUUUAUAACAAACAAAACAUUCAAUCAUAACAAAAUUUAAGAAUGACAUCAUAAAAUUCUUGAAGAACUUGACUGAUCACCUUUCAGCUGUCACAAUUCAAGCUGAAAUUAACACAAGUAUGUCAAGAAUGGGAGUCGGGAGUCGCUGCAGCCUGGAAGCAUUGACCUAUUUACAAAUGGAUGUUCUAAAA
rnacentral:misc_RNA from 1 species